ensembl:lncRNA
CUGGGACCUUUUAUUUAUUUUAUAAACACUUUACAUGUCACGUUGAUAUUUUCAGUAUAAAUGGAAUUCAAAUAAUUGAACCGAUGUCAUCAAUUAGUUGUUUAAAAACUGCAAAGAUUACUGUGAUCUCAGUUAAUGCUCAGCACUCGCAGACAGGCAGUCAGACAGACAGACGGUCACCAUAGCAGUCAGACAGACGGUCACCAUAGCAGUCAGACAGACAGACAGACGGUCACCAUAGCAGUCAGACAGACAGACAGUCACCAUAGCAGUCAGACAGACAGACAGUCACCAUAUCAGACAGGCAGGCAGACAGACGGUCACCAUAGCAGUCAGACAGACAGUCACCAUAGCAGUCAGACAGUCAGACAGACAGUCAGACAGACAGACAGUCAGACAGACGGUCACCAUAGCAGUCAGUCAGACAGACAGUCAGACAGACAGUCAGACAGACAGUCAGACAGACGGUCACCAUAGCAGUCAGUCAGACAGACAGUCAGACAGACAGUCAGACAGACAGUCAGACAGACGGUCACCAUAGCAGUCAGUCAGACAGACAGUCAGACAGACAGUCAGACAGACGGUCACCAUAGCAGUCAGUCAGACAGACAGUCAGACAGACAGUCAGAUGGGUAAGCAAUAACAAUAAACAAAUUCAGGUAGAAACACACCAACACGAUAAAUGGUGUUUCCCUUCCUGUACAAAUCACCUGGGAAGGCAGAACGUUAAGGUUUCUUACUUCCUGUACAAAUCACCUGGGAAGGCAGAACGUUAAGGUUUCUUACUUCCUGUACAAAUCACCUGGGAAGGCAGAACGUUAAGGUUUCUUACUUCCUGUACAAAUCACCUGGGAAGGCAGAA